rnacentral:rRNA from 1 species
UACGUAGGGUGCGAGCGUUAAUCGGAAUUACUGGGCGUAAAGCGUGCGCAGGCGGUUCGCUGUGUCCGAUGUGAAAGCCCCGGGCUUAACCUGGGAGUGCAUUGGAAACUGGCGGGCUUGAGUGCGGCAGAGGGGGGUGGAAUUCCGCGUGUAGCAGUGAAAUGCGUAGAGAUGCGGAGGAACACCGAUGGCGAAGGCAGCCCCCUGGGUCGACACUGACGCUCAGGCACGAAAGCGUGGGGAGCAAACAGG